rnacentral:rRNA from 1 species
CCGUACACAAAAAUGCACAUGCUGUGAGCUCGAUGAGUAGGGCGGGACACGUGGUAUCCUGUCUGAAUAUGGGGGGACCAUCCUCCAAGGCUAAAUACUCCUGACUGACCGAUAGUGAACCAGUACCGUGAGGGAAAGGCGAAAAGAACCCCGGCGAGGGGAGUGAAAAAGAACCUGAAACCGUGUACGUACAAGCAGUGGGAGCACGCUUAGGCGUGUGACUGCGUACCUUUUGUAUAAUGGGUCAGCGACUUAUAUUCUGUAGCAAGGUUAACCGAAUAGGGGAGCCGAAGGGAAACCGAGUCUUAACUGGGCGUUAAGUUGCAGGGUAUAGACCCGAAACCCGGUGAUCUAGCCAUGGGCAGGUUGAAGGUUGGGUAACACUAACUGGAGGACCGAACCGACUAAUGUUGAAAAAUUAGCGGAUGACUUGUGGCUGGGGGUGAAAGGCCAAUCAAACCGGGAGAUAGCUGGUUCUCCCCGAAAGCU